UAAGUUGUGUCUGUUUCCUUGGAGGCAGAAAUGCUCAUGCUCUCCCAGUUUACUUGGAUGCAAUUUUACUUAAGAUCCUCUCAAGACCUUCUGAGCCUGUUUGAGCCUUGAAGGGCAUGCACAGUCGAGCCAUGAGUAUUUCUUUACUGGGAGAGCUGCCACAUUUCAGUGGGAAGGUUACCUUCCUGUGUGGAAGGGAGAGAAUAGUGUUGUGAAGGAAUCCCUGGCUUUAAUUGCAUCCUCUGUCAUUCUGCCUGGAAGGAUGUUUAAUGGGGGUUGCUCUGUCCUGCGUUUGUUUGCAGGUGUGACUGGUGCAGGUGAUCCAGGAUCCGCUUUGAGCUCUGGGACCGAAACUCUGGCAGAAGGCAUGGAAGUGCCCCCGUGGCUGUCUUUGCCCAGUCGUUCAUUUCCUCCUGUGCUGGAGCCCAGCUGGAAUCCCAGCAGUCAGGAAAGAGGAAAGGAUGAACCUAAAGGAGGAAGAAACUCCCAGGCUCUUCCCAUCUCCUAAAGGAACUGCUGAAGAAAUGGAGAAGGCAGCGUGUGGUAGGCAUACUUCAGUCUGUUCACCGUGAGACAUGGGAAGCUGAGGUCUGAUGUUCAUGUGUGGACAAGCCGUAGCCUGCACAGCAGGAAGGGGUCACUCAGAGCCGUGCUGCGGUGGUUCCAUGUAACGCCUGGCAGGCACCCAAGUAUUUGACAGACUGUACAUCCUUAUCACCGACUACUGGGAGACGCUGCUGGGGUACAACAGAUGUGAGAUGAGGCUGACAGAGCCGUGCCUCAGUCCAACACUCACAACAGCACAGACUGGGUGCCGUGGAAUGGCACCAGAGGGACGAGCCCAGCUCCCGUGCCAUCUACACCAGGGCAGGAGGGAAGAUCCAGCACUGCCAAAUAUGGCAAGAGGGUCACGUUUCAUAAGGCACUUGACCAAGUGCACAUUGUUCAAGUUCAUCACCUGCAAUAAAAGGUCUUUUUUUGUUCUGCAUCAACAA